AAACUAGCGAGCCAUGACCGGUUUUUCCAGCAAAGGAGGAAUGCCGCCGGAGAGCUCGGGCAUAUCACCUUUCUGAAGGUGACAGCCGCUUUGCGUAUGUUGGCAUACGGUAUCCCGGCUGAUCUAGUUGAUGAUCACUUAGAUAUGGGUGAGAGCCAAGCCAUCAUGUGUGUCAAGCGCUUUGCAGUGGGAAUUCUGCAAGUGUUUGGCGAGGAGUAUUUGAGAUCUCCCACUGCUGAAGACGCCGUAAGGCUAUUGGCGAUGAACAAAAUGCGCGGCUUUCCUGGCAUGCUUGGCUCAAUAGAUUGCAUGCACUGGAGUUGA
rnacentral:rRNA from 1 species